rnacentral:rRNA from 1 species
GGCAUUGAGUGCUUGCACUCUUUGGACGUCGACCGGCGCACGGGUGAGUAACGCGUGUCCAACCUUCCCAUUACUGUGGGAUAACCUGCCGAAAGGCAGACUAAUACCGCAUAGUCUUCGAUGACGGCAUCAGAUUUGAAGUAAAGAUUUAUCGGUAAUGGAUGGGGAUGCGUCUGAUUAGCUUGUUGGCGGGGUAACGGCCCACCAAGGCGACGAUCAGUAGGGGUUCUGAGAGGAAGGUCCCCCACAUUGGAACUGAGACACGGUCCAAACUCCUACGGGAGGCAGCAGUGAGGAAUAUUGGUCAAUGGACGGAAGUCUGAACCAGCCAAGUAGCGUGCAGGAUGACGGCCCUAUGGGUUGUAAACUGCUUUUGUAUGGGGAUAAAGUUAGGGACGUGUCCCUAUUUGCAGGUACCAUACGAAUAAGCGACCGGCUAAUUCCGUGCCAGCAGCCGCGGUAAUACGGAAGGUCCAGGCGUUAUCCGGAUUUAUUGGGUUUAAAGGGAGCGUAGGCUCGGAGAUUAAGUGUGUUGUGAAAUGUAGACGCUCACGUCUGACUGCAGCGCAUACUGGUUUCCUUGAGUACGCACAACGUUGGCGGAAUUCGUCGUGUAGCGGUGAAAUGCUUAGCUAUGACGAAGAACUCCGAUUGCGAAGGCAGCUGACGGGAGCGCAACUGACGCUUAAGCUCGAAGGUACGGGUAUCAAACAGGAUUAGAUACCCUGGUAGUCCGCACAGUAAACGAUGGAUGCCCGCUGUUGGUACCUGGUAUCAGCGGCUAAGCGAAAGCAUU